GCCUCCUUAGCUCAGUGGUAGAGCAACGCUCUUGUAAAGCGUAGGUCGUCGGUUCAAUCCCGACAGGGGGCUCCA
rnacentral:tRNA from 1 species